UCUGUUUGUUCACUAUAAUUUUGUAUAAAUGCUUCGAAAGUUCAGAUUCAUGAUGCUCGUCAUCGUUGCUUUUUUUAUCUGUUUUGUCAGUGUUUUUUUUCUUUUCGUUCAUAUUAUUCUGUUUGUUCACUAUAAUUUUGUAUAAAUGCUUCGAAAGUUCAGAUUCAUGAUGCUCGUCAUCGUUGCUUUUUUUAUCUGUUUUGUCAGUGUUUUUUUCUUUUCAUUCAUAUUAUUCUGUUUGUUCACUAUAAUUUUGUAUAAAUGCUUCGAAAGUUCAGAUUCAUGAUGCUCGUCAUCGUUGCUUUUUUUAUCUGUUUUGUCAGUGUUUUUUUCUUUUCGUUCAUAUUAUUCUGUUUGUUCACUAUAAUUUUGUAUAAAUGCUUCGAAAGUUCAGAUUCAUGAUGCUCGUCAUCGUUGCUUUUUUUAUCUGUUUUGUCAGUGUUUUUUUUUCUUUUCGUUCAUAUUAUUCUGUUUGUUCACUGUAAUUUGUAUAAAUGCCUCGAAAGUUCAGAUUCAUAAUGCUCGUCAUCGUUGCUUUUUUAUCUGAUUUGCCUGUGUGGCAUGAUCUUUUCUCUGCUCUCAAACUAAAUCAUAAGGUGAUGAGUCGAGGUAAAUGGCAAAAGCUUUCUAUGAAUACUUAUACUCUUCGGGAGGAGCAGGCAAGAUGAACCGAAUGCAAAUUCCGAUGGGAAUUUCCACAAAAUGAACUCACGUUUAGUGGUCAUUCUCUCAAAUGCAGAGAUUGAGCAAAGCUUUACUUCAAAUGGGUCCCAUGAAGGCGUCGAGGCCGGAUGCCUCUUUUUUCAUUUCGUUCAUAUUAUUCCGUUUGUUCACUGUAAUUUUGUAUAAUUGCUUCGAAAGUUCAGAUUCAUAAUGCUCGUCAUCGUUGCUUUUUUAUCUGUUUUGUCAGUGUUUUUUUUUCUUUUCGUUCAUAUUAUUCUGUUUGUUCACUGUAAUUUGUAUAAAUGCUUCGAAA